CCAGUGUGUUUCGACACACUAUCAUUAACUGAAUCCAUAGGUUAAUGAGGCGAACCGGGGGAACUGAAACAUCUAAGUACCCCGAGGAAAAGAAAUCAACCGAGAUUCCCCCAGUAGCGGCGAGCGAACGGGGAGGAGCCCAGAGCCUGAAUCAGUGUGUGUGUUAGUGGAAGCGUCUGGAAAGGCGCGCGAUACAGGGUGACAGCCCCGUACACAAAAAUGCACAUACUGUGAGCUCGAUGAGUAGGGCGGGACACGUGGUAUCCUGUCUGAAUAUGGGGGGACCAUCCUCCAAGGCUAAAUACUCCUGACUGACCGAUAGUGAACCAGUACCGUGAGGGAAAGGCGAAAAGAACCCCGGCGAGGGGAGUGAAAAAGAACCUGAAACCGUGUACGUACAAGCAGUGGGAGCCUCUUAAUGGGGUGACUGCGUACCUUUUGUAUAAUGGGUCAGCGACUUAUAUUCUGUAGCAAGGUUAACCGAAUAGGGGAGCCGAAGGGAAACCGAGUCUUAACUGGGCGUUAAGUUGCAGGGUAUAGACCCGAAACCCGGUGAUCUAGCCAUGGGCAGGUUGAAGGUUGGGUAACACUAACUGGAGGACCGAACCGACUAAUGUUGAAAAAUUAGCGGAUGACUUGUGGCUGGGGGUGAAAGGCCAAUCAAACCGGGAGAUAGCUGGUUCUCCCCGAAAGCUAUUUAGGUAGCGCCUCGUGAAUUCAUCUCCGGGGGUAGAGCACUGUUUCGGCAAGGGGGUCAUCCCGACUUACCAACCCGAUGCAAACUGCGAAUACCGGAGAAUGUUAUCACGGGAGACACACGGCGGGUGCUAACGUCCGUCGUGAAGAGGGAAACAACCCAGACCGCCAGCUAAGGUCCCAAAGUCAUGGUUAAGUGGGAAACGAUGUGGGAAGGCCCAGACAGCCAGGAUGUUGGCUUAGAAGCAGCCAUCAUUUAAAGAAAGCGUAAUAGCUCACUGGUCGAGUCGGCCUGCGCGGAAGAUGUAACGGGGCUAAACCAUGCACCGAAGCUGCGGCAGCGACACUAUGUGUUGUUGGGUAGGGGAGCGUUCUGUAAGCCUGUGAAGGUGUACUGUGAGGUAUGCUGGAGGUAUCAGAAGUGCGAAUGCUGACAUAAGUAACGAUAAAGCGGGUGAAAAGCCCGCUCGCCGGAAGACCAAGGGUUCCUGUCCAACGUUAAUCGGGGCAGGGUGAGUCGACCCCUAAGGCGAGGCCGAAAGGCGUAGUCGAUGGGAAACAGGUUAAUAUUCCUGUACUUGGUGUUACUGCGAAGGGGGGACGGAGAAGGCUAUGUUGGCCGGGCGACGGUUGUCCCGGUUUAAGCGUGUAGGCUGGUUUUCCAGGCAAAUCCGGAAAAUCAAGGCUGAGGCGUGAUGACGAGGCACUACGGUGCUGAAGCGACAAAUGCCCUGCUUCCAGGAAAAGCCUCUAAGCAUCAGGUAACAUCAAAUCGUACCCCAAACCGACACAGGUGGUCAGGUAGAGAAUACCAAGGCGCUUGAGAGAACUCGGGUGAAGGAACUAGGCAAAAUGGUGCCGUAACUUCGGGAGAAGGCACGCUGAUAUGUAGGUGAAGCGACUUGCUCGUGGAGCUGAAAUCAGUCGAAGAUACCAGCUGGCUGCAACUGUUUAUUAAAAACACAGCACUGUGCAAACACGAAAGUGGACGUAUACGGUGUGACGCCUGCCCGGUGCCGGAAGGUUAAUUGAUGGGGUUAGCGGUAACGCGAAGCUCUUGAUCGAAGCCCCGGUAAACGGCGGCCGUAACUAUAACGGUCCUAAGGUAGCGAAAUUCCUUGUCGGGUAAGUUCCGACCUGCACGAAUGGCGUAAUGAUGGCCAGGCUGUCUCCACCCGAGACUCAGUGAAAUUGAACUCGCUGUGAAGAUGCAGUGUACCCGCGGCAAGACGGAAAGACCCCGUGAACCUUUACUAUAGCUUGACACUGAACAUUGAGCCUUGAUGUGUAGGAUAGGUGGGAGGCUUUGAAGUGUGGACGCCAGUCUGCAUGGAGCCGACCUUGAAAUACCACCCUUUAAUGUUUGAUGUUCUAACGUGGGCCCCUUACCGGGGUUGCGGACAGUGUCUGGUGGGUAGUUUGACUGGGGCGGUCUCCUCCUAAAGAGUAACGGAGGAGCACGAAGGUUGGCUAAUCCUGGUCGGACAUCAGGAGGUUAGUGCAAUGGCAUAAGCCAGCUUGACUGCGAGCGUGACGGCGCGAGCAGGUGCGAAAGCAGGUCAUAGUGAUCCGGUGGUUCUGAAUGGAAGGGCCAUCGCUCAACGGAUAAAAGGUACUCCGGGGAUAACAGGCUGAUACCGCCCAAGAGUUCAUAUCGACGGCGGUGUUUGGCACCUCGAUGUCGGCUCAUCACAUCCUGGGGCUGAAGUAGGUCCCAAGGGUAUGGCUGUUCGCCAUUUAAAGUGGUACGCGAGCUGGGUUUAGAACGUCGUGAGACAGUUCGGUCCCUAUCUGCCGUGGGCGCUGGAGAACUGAGGGGGGCUGCUCCUAGUACGAGAGGACCGGAGUGGACGCAUCACUGGUGUUCGGGUUGUCAUGCCAAUGGCACUGCCCGGUAGCUAAAUGCGGAAGAGAUAAGUGCUGAAAGCAUCUAAGCACGAAACUUGCCCCGAGAUGAGUUCUCCCUGACUCCUUGAGAGUCCUGAAGGAACGUUGAAGACGACGACGUUGAUAGGCCGGGUGUGUAAGCGCAGCGAUGCGUUGAGCUAACCGGUACUAAUGAACCGUGAGGCUUAACCUUACAACGCCGAAG
rnacentral:rRNA from 1 species